rnacentral:rRNA from 1 species
GACGGAGGGUGCAAGCGUUGUUCGGAAUUACUGGGCGUAAAGCGCGUGUAGGCUGCUCUGCAAGUCGGCUGUGAAAGCCCUGGGCUCAACCUAGGAAGUGCACUCGAAACUGCAGAGCUUGAGUCUCGGAGAGGAUCGCGGAAUUCUCGGUGUAGAGGUGAAAUUCGUAGAUAUCGAGAGGAACACCGGUGGCGAAGGCGGCGAUCUGGACGAUGACUGACGCUGAGACGCGAAAGCGUGGGGAGCAAACAGG